AUCUAGCCAUGCCGCGUGCAGGAAGACUGCCCUAUGGGUUGUAAACUGCUUUUAUCAGGGAAGAAAAUACUCUUGCGAGAGGGAUUGCCGGUACCUGAUGAAU
rnacentral:rRNA from 1 species